AAUGUUUUCAUUAAUCAAGAACGAAAGUUAGAGGUUGAAGGCGAUCAGAUACCGCCCUAGUUCUAACCGUAAACUAUGCCUACUAGAUGUAUGAAUUAUUAGUUAUAAUAAUUUAUGCAUCUUCUCGGAAACGAAAGUCUUUCGGUUCCGGGGGAAGUAUGGUUGCAAAGCUGAAACUUAAAGGAAUUGACGGAAGGGCACCACCAGGAGUGGAGCCUGCGGCUUAAUUUGACUCAACACGGGAAAACUCACCCGGGCCGGACACUAUAAGGAUUGACAGAUUGAUAGCUCUUUCAUGAUUUAGUGGUUGGUGGUGCAUGGCCGUUCUUAGUUCGUGGAUAUGAUUUGUCUGGUUGAUUCCGAUAACGAGCGAGACUUUUAUGUUAUAUUAAAUAUUAUUAUUUUGUUUAUUUUAAUAUAAAUAAUUAAUAUUUUAAUAACAGAUUAAUAGUGUUUAACUAUUUGAGAGAGAGCGAUAACAGGUCUGUGAUGCCCUUAGAUGUCCGGGGCUGCACGCGCGCUACAAUGUAGUGAUC
rnacentral:rRNA from 1 species